UAAGGGAGUGAAGACGAUCAGAUACCGUCGUAAUCUUAACCAUAAACUAUGCCGACUAGGUGUUGGAUGAUAGUGUAAAAAAUAAAAGAGACAUUCUUAUAUAUGAGUGUUUCUUUUAGAUAGCUUCCUUCAGUACCUUAUGAGAAAUCA
rnacentral:rRNA from 1 species